rnacentral:rRNA from 1 species
GAUGAACGCUGGCGGCGUGCUUAACACAUGCAAGUCGAACGAAGCAUUUGCGACAGAUUUUUUCGGAAUGAAGUUGCUUAUGACUGAGUGGCGGACGGGUGAGUAACGCGUGGGUAACCUGCCUUGUACUGGGGGAUAGCAGCUGGAAACGGCUGGUAAUACCGCAUAAGCGCACAAUGUUGCAUGACAUGGUGUGAAAAACUCCGGUGGUAUAAGAUGGACCCGCGUCUGAUUAGCUAGUUGGUGAGAUAACAGCCCACCAAGGCGACGAUCAGUAGCCGACCUGAGAGGGUGACCGGCCACAUUGGGACUGAGACACGGCCCAGACUCCUACGGGGGGCAGCAGUGGGGAAUAUUGCACAAUGGAGGAAACUCUGAUGCAGCGACGCCGCGUGAGUGAAGAAGUAAUUCGUUAUGUAGAGCUCUAUCAGCAGGGAAGAUAGUGACGGUACCUGACUAAGAAGCUCCGGCUAAAUACGUG